AGGCACUUAGUAUCACCAGUGCCAAAGGAAAACUCAUGGCCUGGAAAUCCUAGCCCUGAUGUUGAUCUGUUAAUGGAAGCCCCCUUGCCUGAAGGGGCAAAAAGGAUAUUUAUAUGGACUGAGCUUCAGCCUCCAGACAUGGAGGGUGCUCUUUCUGCAGAGUCUCUAGGUCACUGAAGAGGCGCCCCUGGAACAUGUCCUCUCUGCUGACUCCAAUCUCCCCGAGUACCUCAGUGUGUGGUCCUAAAGCCUGGUAGUGCGAGUGCCCCUUUUUUUUUAAGAAUCUGGACAAUGAUAUAAAAUUCCUCAAGUCUCACAUGCUUCUGCGUACUCUGUUUUCAGGAUGCUUUCUUGCAAAGAUAACUUCUCAUGGGGAGAGAGCCAUCCUUGUUGCUGGGUGGAACCCCCUCCCCCCAAAAAACUGGAAACAAACUAGAUAGUGCUGCAAGCAUGCAAAUGAAUUGGGCCAGAGAUAAUUUAAUUUCUACCCUGUUUCAAUGGUUUUAAAUGCUUGUAGUGAUACAGAUGUUAAGUUUCAGAAUAUUUUGUGGUUGGUCAUAUGUCACUUUUGGUCCAGUCAGCGUUAGAACUUGAGGCAGAGAAAGGUGAUGCCAACUGUCUAGAGAUAAGUGAUGGGAGAAAUAGGAGAAAAAGCCAGGUUUUCUCACUUUAUUAGAUUUUGUUGUCCUGUUGGAUUAGAUAUCAAAACUGAACUCCAGGAUCAUGGUGAGGAAUGCGGGGGUUUCCCAUCGAAGUGGAGGAGUGGCUGCAGAGCUGGGAAUCUUCAGGCUCCGCAUGGACGUGAGCAGCUGGGUGCACCCCACCGUUCAAAAUGCAAAUAGACCUCUGUGAUGGGUAGAGUUCAGUGCGGUGGCUGCGCUUCAGUAGCUGCUUGAGUGGCUCACUGUGCUCUGCUGAGACCCAGUGGCAUGCAUGUUUUCAGACAGUCUUAUCUUUUCCAAUAUCUCUUAAUGAUUUCCCUCCCUUGCUCUCUCCUGCCCUCCUGAAUGGUCUGUUUGGGGUUGCCACCUCCACCCCCAGGCUUUACUGUAGCAAUAUUGUACUUGCAGAGGUGACCUCUGUUGAGCAGAAAUGGGCUUGCUGGCAUUUUGUCAAGCCAUGCUUGAGACCUUCAGUUUGCUGUAUUUUAAACUGGGUAGACCUUUGAGGCUGGCUCAGACUGUAGAACUGGGCAGUUGCCCUUGUACGUGUUUGGAUGAUGGGAUUACACAGUAGUGGUCUGUUCUUGGGGGGAACAGACUCUGGUUUAUCUCACAUAAGGCACUUGAAGGAGAGAAAAGAACCUCAGUCAUAACAGACCUUCAGACUUCCUGCUGUUGACUUUUCAUAGAAUCAUAGAAUGUUUUGGGUUGGAAGGGGCCCCUAGAGGUCAUCUAGUCCAACAGUCAUGUGGGAUCUUCUGUGCUGCUAGUGAGUGUAGGAAGCAGUUAAUUUUGCUGCUUAGCUCUUUUCAGUGGACUACCAUGUUAAUUUUGGGUAUCUUUGGGUAUUACAUUUUCAGUAUUCAUAGUUAAUCAAACUAGUGACUUAAUUAUGGGUUUGGUAAUACCCAGCUUCUAAGUACUGGGUCGCAAUCCCUCAGUACAACUGGGUGUCAUGUGAUGGACAUUCCUAAGGAAGCAGAAGCUAGUUGGCAAUGUUGGCUUGAGCACAGCAAUGAGGGUGGUGCUCACCCUCUUCACCAAACACUUUAUUCUUGGUAAUUCCUCCAGCGUUCUCCUUUGUACAGUCAAGCCAGCCAGGGGGAAUUGCUAGUGCUCUCCUUGGGUGUUCUGGGAUUGCUGUAAAAAUGUGAGUCCAUUUGUUUGGUCCCCUCAUCAGUGCUGCUGGUGUUAGUCCAAGGUGAUUAAAUUACCAAAGAAUAGUUAAGAGGUGUUUGUUCCUAGUCUCAGUUGUUCAUUUUCCACAUAGAUCCAUUUUUAAGAUUCCUUGCAGGAGUGCCCAGUGAUCUUACUAGACUUAGUCUGUCCACACAGGUUACACUCACAUUGUGGGUGAUUUGUGACUCCCUUAAUGACAGGGACUCCUGAACUUCAUUAUGGGGAUAUAUUUGCUGCCUCCAUUUCAGGUCUUUGGCAGCUUUUUGUAUCUUAAGGAUUAAGAUGCUUAGGUAUUAGUUAUUCUCCAGAAUUUCAUCCUCUCCCUUCACCUGAGUGCUUGCUUUGUAUAUAGCUUGCAGCUGCAGAGUUAACAGACUAAAGUAGUGAUCCAGCCAUGUGGAGUGGUGGUUUGGUGUCUUAAUUUCUGCCCUUCAGCUGAGAGGUGCUUACUGACCUUGUCAACUGAUGUCCCUUACCUGGUGCCGAUGUGAAGUAAAGCAGGCUUGCUGAGACCCUGCAUGGUCAUCUCUUCUGAUUGUUAGCAAGAAGGGAAGAACAGAUGGGUUGUUGGUUGCUGCACCUCAGCAAAGCAGCCGUAUCUCUCAGCAGCCAUGUGGGAGCUCUCGGAUCUGUUUCUGGUGGUCUCAUACCCUUAUUUUUCCAUAAAUGCACUUUUCCAAGGUGUCUGAGAGGUUCUUAAUUAGCUUCUGUCACAAUUGCUGCUAUGACAAAACUAUUGAACUGGGGUGCAGCUCUUGCAGAGCUGUGCGUGAUGCGGAUGGAGCUGAUCUCUGCCUGGACUCCCAUGCUGGCCAGGCGCACGCUUAAACCAAGUGAAAAUCCCCAUGUGCACCACUGGCCACCCCACAGCCAGAGCCUGUGGUGUGACCUCAAUUUAAAGUGCAUUUCUGAGUGUUGCAGUGCCUUCAGUAACUUAAUGGAAAGUUUCUGAAGCACAGACACCAGGAAUUUGUCCACAUUGCAGACAAGGCAAAGUGGAAAGGAGAACAUAGCCACAUCUUGUUUGAGGGGAUGCCCUGUGUCUGCUCUGCCUUGCCUCUGCAAGCGGGCGCUUUGGUGUGUGGUGAGCGUGGGCAGGGGGGCACGAGAGGAAAGGUGAAAGCCCAACAGUGUUUGGUAUUGUUCUCAGGACUUCUGAGGAAUUUAAAACGGGGGAUACUUAUUCAUUGCUCAGGAGGUUCUUGUGAAAGGGCUUAAUUAGAAACAUUUUCAGAGAGAUCAAGUAGGUAUGCCUCUCAUUCUUCUUUCUCCAUGUUAAUUUUCAAGGAUUUAAAUUAGGAUGUGUCUUUUUGCUUGUGAUGCUGGGUUUCUUUAUCAAAACCAUGUGGUACUUGGCUAAUUAAAUUAAUGCUCUUGAGUGCCAUUUUCUAACAGCCUUUCCCUCUAAUAUCCUGCUGGGAGCGGUAUGGUCUAAGAAAUUGCACACAAAUCUAAGACAGGGUUGGCAGAGUUGAGAGGACCUGGACUGCCUGACCACUUCUGUACCCAAACAACCAGCAAGUAAAACACUUGAUUGUAUACAAAUUCGGGUCAUUGGACUGAAACCGAGAGGGUGUGUAAAAAAAAAAACCCUUGCAACAUAGUGCAAUGUCUCUGUAGUCCUAGAUGUUGGUUCUCUGACAUCAGAACAAAGAUCUAGGAGUCAAUAUGUUGUUUUCUUAGGAACUGCUUUUCUAGAUGCCCUUAUUAAAAGGGAAAAAUUCAGGUGCUGAAUCUUAAAAUCUCAUUAAACUUGUACUUUUUAUUUGCCCAUUCACCUGGUCUCCUUUCCUUUUCAAGGCCUCCCACUGUCUCAGGGUAUAUAAAUCACUAUGACUCAUCCAAAUACUACCGAAAUGGACCAACCAGAGGUUAAUGUGUGCCUUCCUCUUCUGGUACCUUGAUCUUUGUAAAGUUAUCUCACAAACUCGUCACUGUCUUAGGGCUGGGUACACGCAUUGUCUUUUUCUAAAUGUACAUGUUGAAGUUGUAACAGGUUUGUACUGUUACUCGUGACUUGUUCCAUUUGUUUUGGGAUGUGGUGCAGACACGAAUCAAUGCACUGGUUUGUCUUGGGUUCAGUCUUACCUGUGACAUCUGUCAGUGCUUGCUUGUAUGUUAAUGUGUAGACAAACGCUGGAUCUUCCCCAUUGCCUAUGAUGUACGUGUACAUGAUGCACAAACUACACAAGGCAUUUUAAAAUGUUGCCUGAGGGUAGGAUGUCUUACAGUGAACUGUUUUUAAUGCUUUUUUUCCAAAUAUAUUUAAUAAGAUCCAAAGCCUUGGAAAGAAAAAAAAAAAAAAACCAGAACAGGACUUGCUGAUACUUGCUGACUUCUGUUCUGAAUGCAGGGUCUGAAGUUUGGUAACAACUCUUGCAAUUUAACAGAACCUUUCUCAGCUUCCUGUUUCUGUUGUGAGUGGGGUCAGGAACAGCACUGCAUGCUGAACUAUCGCAGGAGCUGUCAAGUGAGGUAGUAACAGCUCUCUUUAAAUGUUGCAGACCGCCUUUUUAACUGUAAGGUAAAUCUGAUCAAAAUUACUGAUGCAGCUUGCAAAUGGAGCAGCGGGAACUGCAGAGAGCCUGUGACACCGGCCUGCUGCACAUGGGGCUCAGUGUUCAGAGUUACCUUGUAGAUUGUUUCUCCUCUCUGAAAAGUGGUUGGUUUUUUUUCCAAUACAAAGACAUUACACGUUUGGCUUUGUUUUCUGAGUUGGCAAAGGAUAUCUUUGUUCUUAAAUCUCAAACUGACAUCUGGAAUUUGGGCUGUUUCUGCUUCUUUACGCAGAUAGCAGAGGAUGGUGUGAUUGAAACAGGAUGUCCUUUCCCAGCUGUAAGGUUAAUUUGAUCAUAAGAGCAUGGAAACAGGAACGCUUCUUCACUUGCCCUGGGCUUUAAUGGGCACGCAUGUCCAUAAUUAACUGAAGCACAGUACUGCAUUCUGUUGAUCCAUGAGGCUACCUUUGUUUUUAGAAUCAGCACUCUUAGUCAGCGUAUUGACACUCAUACACAGUUAAGGAGCUCUCAUGUGUGUGUAUUUCCUGUGAUAGCUGUUCUCUCUGUACCCCAGUACAGACUUCAUCUGGAGUUCUAAUUUUAGCUCUUGCUAACUUCAGAGUUUCUUCAAAUUCAGUAAGGUCCUGUUUUUAUCAAUUUUCAGAGCAGCACAGAUUGGUUUAACUUUGCACUUUCCUCUUCUCCCAUUUCUUCCUAGUUCACCUUUAACAAUCAGUUCAAAGCUGCUUGCCUAGUCUGAAAAAUACGGAGUCAUAAUAAAA